GAUAGACAGCUGGGGGCCUCCAGUUGUCCGUCCCCAACAGCCCUAACGGAUUUGGGAGGCAUUUGGAGCCCAAAACUGUCCCCGUGAGGUGGACAAAAAUAGAAAAAAAAAUCAGUUCCCAAAGCAGAGAACGUGCUCGACGAAAAUCCAAAGAAAGAGAGAGAGAAAACCAGAGAGAAAGGAGAGAAAACUGAGGAUAAGGGAGGUAGAGGUCCCCAAAGCUAAGUGACCGGCGCCGGCAAAUCAGACCUUUAUGGUGGAUCUCCUUCCCAGAUGACCAGGAAAAGGUUGAUCGUGAGGCUCUGAAACCGAGUCUCGAACGACCAGUUCAAGACCUUCCCGGCGAGGCAGAGGUCACCAACUCGAAGAGGAGGUGUCAGAGGAGCAUCCCAUAGCCACCAUUUGAUUCGAAAAAUCGGAUUUGGCCUCCAAUGGCGAAGUUUCUUGAGGAUUCAGCCGAGAGCAAUGAGCCACCACCAAUCCAAGUCCACUAGUCCGAGACCAUCACCUCUCCUAAGGUGGCUUCUGCGUUGUUCACCGUGACCGAGCAUCAAUCGACAUCCCUCGUUGCUUCCUUUACAUCCUUUGUUAGUCUUAAUUAAGGGUUGAGAUGAGCGGCAAGUCAACAUUAGUUUGCCUUUUCCACUGUGGAAAUUUUGUCCGAUGCCCAAUGCUUGACUAUGUUGGGGGAAGAUGUUGAGUUACUUGAAUAGCUUAGUAAUAUCCAUCGUUCAUCAGGUCACAAAAGGAGGAGAUGCAAAUAGUGAUCGGUUGCCUGAAGAUCUUAACAAGGGAAAGCUUAGCAGAUACAUAGAAGAUAAUAGGUUUGCUAAAAUCGAACCAAGCGCCAGGUAGCCAAAGGCCCAUCGGCAGUGCUGCCUAGGUCCACUGUUGACUUAGAAUCAGAUGGUGAAUGACCGAAUCUGCAAUGGGAUCACAUCUUCCUUUAAAAGCAGGAAGCUUAUUGGUGAGCAUUUAAAGCGUAUUUGAGGGGAAAUACAAGGAGAUCACCCUAGUGAAUGCCUCUUGACUUAUAAAUACGUGCUUUGUAUAGUGUAGUUUUAUACACA